UACGAAGGGGGCUAGCGUUGCUCGGAAUCACUGGGCGUAAAGCGCACGUAGGCGGAUUGCUAAGUCAGGGGUGAAAUCCUGGAGCUCAACUCCAGAACUGCCUUUGAUACUGGCGAUCUUGAGUCCGGGAGAGGUGAGUGGAACUGCGAGUGUAGAGGUGAAAUUCGUAGAUAUUCGGAAGAACACCAGUGGCGAAGGCGGCUCACUGGCCCGAUACUGACGCUGAGGCACGAAAGCGUGGGGAGCAAACAGG
rnacentral:rRNA from 1 species